rnacentral:lncRNA from 1 species
AUGGAGUCUUCUUCUUUCCAUGUUUCAAACUGAGGAUCGCCUAGUUUUGGUCCUGUAUCUAUGAGGUGAUUGAUUUUUCCUUUUUCUCUCAAUAUAGUCCAAACACGUUGGGACCACUUUAGGUAGUUCUUUCCAUCCAGUCUAUAUGGCACUUGAAUGGUUUACAAUUCAAUGGAUUUUUAGGAUCUAACAAUCUCCUCUGUUUGAGCAAGUUAGUUGGUUUAUGUAAUUUUUAGCAUAUUUUAGGUAACUUUGUGUACAAAAAGAAAUCUAGUAAUGAAGGUUGAUUGAAAAAAAAAUGGAAAAGGAUUGUGCAAGUUCACACCACCAUUGAUUAAGACUGGUCACUAGCUGAAUAGAGUGGUGCAUGGCGACUUGAGGAGAGGAAGGUGCGCGCAGAGGCUAGAAACAGAUUAACUAGAACCAAAACAGAGCAAAAUAGCGUGCUAAAAAUAAAGCAGGUCUGCGUGAAAAACAACACAAAUUUAUGCGUAAAAUAAAGCAAAAUAGUGCGUGAAAUAGAGCAUAAUAGUACGUAAAAAUAGAACCAAUAGGGCAUAAAAAACAGAGCUAAAAUCGAGUUAGAAAGAGCAAGAAACAGAGCAGGGAUGGAGUAGAAAAAGAGGUGAAACAUAACAAACUAAUGAUGAUUGAAAAAAGAGUAGAAAAUAGAGAUAGUUGUUUGCAGUCAAAUAGGUCAAUGAUUACUGAAAACAAGUAU